CAGAGAGAAACUCAUUCGCUGGCUUUGUUGUUGCUGUUGGCAUAAAUGGAGGAGCCCCUCUGCCAAUUGCUGCUGUUUAAUGAUAUCUUGCUGCCUUUGUCGUUGGUGCCAUGGCGGAAGAGAUUGAACAGAAAUAACUCGCUGUGACGUUGAUGGUGGGCCAUCCGCCCGGAUCUGCUGCUGCUGCUCAGUGUUCCCCGGGUGCUCUUGUCGUUGUUGUCCUGGCUGAGGGAAACUCAUUGGCUGGCUUUGAUGUUGCUGUUGCCAUGGCUGGAGGAGCUGCUCUUGCAGCUUUUGCCGUUGAUGCCGUGGCAAAGGCGAUUGAAUUGGUAGCGCAGAAUUAGCUCGCUGCGCUGUUGUUGAUGAGGCUUCCGCCCGGCUCUGCUGCUGUUUAAUAUUCUCCGGCUGCCCUUGUCUUUGUUGUCCUGGUGAGUCGAAGGCGGCUCUGCAGGUCCAAGUUGCCUCCGUCGUUUAGCUGAGGGCUGGAUUUGCUGCUGGUCUAAAAUCCCAAGUUGACCAACUCGUUGCCGUGGAAAUGGAAAUCGAAUUGUCUGUUCAGAUUUUUUAAGCUGAGUAACAGGCAAUUGCUGUAGAGUUUCUCGCUCGGUAUCCCAGUGCUGAUCUGGCCACUUCUGUGUCAUGUUGGUUUCAGACCGAAUUUGCUGCUGCUCAGUUGUUCGCUCGAUGAUCACUUGCUGCCUUCGUUGUUGACGUCGUGGCAGGGGCGAUCGAAUUGGAUUUGUAGCUAACUAAUUAGCUGUCCGCGUUGUUGUUGAUGUAGCU